rnacentral:misc_RNA from 1 species
AAGUCGUAACAAGGUAACCGUAGGUGAACCUGCGGUUGGAUCAUCCGAGAGAGUGGCACACGCAGUGUUACACGCAGUGUGUCGCUCAUAAUAGUUAGUGACUUGUAUCUUUUCUCGUUCUUUUCAGUGAAUCACAGGAAAAAGAGAGAGAAGCACGUCACUUGCAAACACCAAUUCCAGCGAAACGCACAAUUCCUCUGAAAAGAGAGAGAGAAGCACCAAUCUCAAUAACACUAAAACAUGACAAAGAAAGAAACAGAAAUAACUUUUGACAAUGGAUCUCUUGGUUCUC